rnacentral:rRNA from 1 species
CUACGUGCCAGCAGCCGCGGUAAUACGUAGGUGGCAAGCGUUGUCCGGAAUUAUUGGGCGUAAAGCGCGCGCAGGCGGAUCUGCCAGUCUGUCUUAAAAGUUCGGGGCUUAACCCCGUGAUGGGAUGGAAACUGCCAAUCUAGAGUAUCGGAGAGGAAAGUGGAAUUCCUAGUGUAGCGGUGAAAUGCGUAGAUAUUAGGAAGAACACCAGUGGCGAAGGCGACUUUCUGGACGAAAACUGACGCUGAGGCGCGAAAGCCAGGGGAGCGAACGGGAUUAGAUACCCCGGUAGUCCUGGCCGUAAACGAUGGGUACUAGGUGUAGGAGGUAUCGACCCCUUCUGUGCCGGAGUUAACGCAAUAAGUACCCCGCCUGGGGAGUACGACCGCAAGGUUGAAACUCAAAGGAAUUGACGGGGGCCCGCACAAGCGGUGGAGUAUGUGGUUUAAUUCGACGCAACGCGAAGAACCUUACCAGGUCUUGACAUUGAUGGACAGAACUAGAGAUAG